AUUGAACGCUGGCGGAAUGCUUUACACAUGCAAGUCGAACGGCAGCACGGACUUCGGUCUGGUGGCGAGUGGCGAACGGGUGAGUAAUGUAUCGGAACAUGCCCAGUCGUGGGGGAUAACGUAGUGAAAGUUACGCUAAUACCGCAUACGAGCUAUGGAUGAAAGCGGGGGAUCGCACGAUCUCGCGCGAUUGGAGCGGCCGAUAUCAGAUUAGGUAGUUGGUGGGGAAAAGGCCCACCAAGCCAACGAUCUGUAGCUGGUCUGAGAGGACGACCAGCCACACUGGAACUGAGACACGGUCCAGACUCCUACGGGAGGCAGCAGUGGGGAAUUUUGGACAAUGGGCGAAAGCCUGAUUCAGCCAUUCCGCGUGCAGGAUGAAGGCCCUCGGGUUGUAAACUGCUUUUGUACAGAACGAAAAGGUUUCUACUAAUACUAGGAGCUCAUGACGGUACUGUAAGAAUAAGCACCGGCUAACUACGUGCCAGCCGCCGUAGUAA
rnacentral:rRNA from 1 species